rnacentral:lncRNA from 1 species
UCACCCCAGUUGCAGUUUCCAUUGCAAGUUGAGAAUGCAGCUGUUGCUGAAGUGCUGAACUCUCUUCCCAGUACCAUUCGUGAAACCACUGCAAAGUUCUCAACUGAGUUGGGAUUGGAUACUAACUCUCCAGCAGGAUACCUUGCUGUUCUUGAUUCUUUGGCGAAGAUGGGUCUUUCCUAUCUGAAAGAUGUUUCUGUUACUGGUGCUAAAAGUGGGUCUACAGUAAUAAGCUCUACAGAUGCUACAGUGGGAAAGGAGAAAAACGGUUCAAUAUCUGUCAGCACUACACCAGCGACAGAGAAAAAAACGAGCUCAAUAUCUUUCAGGACUACACCAGCAACAAAGGAUCAGACCAGCUCAGUACCUGUCCAGACUACCCUUGUUCCUGAACUGAAAGGGCUUGGCACUGAUGAAGGAAAUGCUGCUGAGGGCUUUGUUAUGCCAGCUUUGGAC